GACGAACGCUGGCGGCGUGCUUAACACAUGCAAGUCGAACGGAAAGGCCUGCUUUCCCUUGUGGAUUGCGGGUACUCGAGUGGCGAACGGGUGAGUAACACGUGAGUGAUCUGCCCCCAACUUGGUUAUAAGCCUGGGAAACUGUGUCUAAUUCCCGAUAGGACUGCAGGGUGGUGCCUGUGGUGGCAAACGAUUUUCUAGUGGUUGGGGAUGAGCUCGCGGCUUAUCAGCUUGUUGGUGGGGUAAUGGCCUACCAAGGCGGCGACGGGUAGCCGGCCUGGGAGGGUGGACGGCGACAUUGGGACUGGGAUACGGCCCAGACGCGUACGGGAGGCAGCAGUGGGGAAGAAUGCAGAAUGGGCGGAAGCCUGAUGCAGCGAGGCAGCGUGGGGGAUGACGGCCUUCGGGUUGUAAACUCCUUGCGACCGCGAGGAAGCCACCUGGUUGGAAGGGUGGUGACGGUAGUGGUAGAAGAAGCACCGGCUAACUACGUG
rnacentral:rRNA from 1 species